UUGAAACUCAAAGGAAUUGACGGAAGCCCGCACAAGCAGUGGAGUAUGUGGUUUAAUUCGACGCAACGCGAAGAACCUUACCGGAGCUUGACAUCCCUCUGACAGCCGAGUAAUGUUGGUUUUCCUUCGGGACAGAGGAGACAGGUGGUGCAUGGUUGUCGUCAGCUCGUGUCGUGAGAUGUUGGGUUAAGUCCCGCAACGAGCGCAACCCUUACGGUCAGUUGCUACGCAAGAGCACUCUGGCCGGACUGCCGUUGACAAAACGGAGGAAGGUGGGGACGACGUCAAAUCAUCAUGCCCCUUACGCCCCGGGCUACACACGUACUACAAUGGCGCAAACAAAGGGAAGCGAAGCCGCGAGGUGGAGCAAAUCCCUAAAAGGCGUCCCAGUUCGGAUUGCAGGCUGCAACCCGCCUGUAUGAAGUUGGAAUUGCUAGUAAUCGCGGAUCAGCAUGCCGCGGUGAAUACGUUCCCGGGCUUUGUACACACCGCCCGUCAAACCAUGAAAGUCGGGAACACCC
rnacentral:rRNA from 1 species